UCUAUGUAUAUCUGUUUUUUUCAGUACAUGUACUUGUAACGAUAUCCAUUCUUGCGACACGACGAGAUGCGCUUCUAUCCCUGACGAGGCCUUCAUGCCAAAUUGAGGAUAGGGUCGCAUCUUGGGUGUGACAAGUUGGUAUCAGAGCAGUACCGACCUAGGAGCCCCCUUGAUUGAUCGAACUUGGCCUAGUCGAGUCUAGUGAAAAUCUAUUUGAGUCUAGUUAUAUAUCGGAG
rnacentral:lncRNA from 1 species